CACUGUCGCUGAGAAACAAGAGGCAGCAAGCAGCUGGUGGGUUGUGUGAUGAGGCUGCUGGAUUUAACAGACCACUGUCCUCCCCUCUUGGGUGAAUGGAGGGUUUUUCACUUCCAGCUUUCACCCGAGGCUGUUUUUGUCUGAUGAAAGAAAGAGCAGACCACAAUGUAGAUUUAUGUGACUGUAGCUACCAGAGUCACUAGCAAGGAAAUACUCUUCAAAUAGAUGUGAUGGCCAUGCAGGACCUCCUAUGCCUGUGAGGGGAGCUGCUGUGCAGGCAAAAAUAUACAAUUCACCUCUGGAAAAUCAUCUAGUUGACAGUACAUUUGUCCCAAAGCCAGCAGUCAUGAGGGAGGAGAGUGGCAUGCCUCCACCGUGGGAUGCUUCACUGCUGGAGAAUGAGUUUUUCCAAGUUUUAGAUGACUUGGAUAGCAAAUUGGCUCAGGAACAGUCUGCAAGCUCAGUGAAUACCAGAACACCCCUCAACUAUGGAUCAAGAACACAGUUCGGUCACUUUUAUUCCAGUGGUAACAGACAUGGUAAUAUCACAGAAAGGCACAAAAAACACUAUAAUGAAACUUCCAAUAUGUCUAUCUAUGACAUCCUAAGACCAGGAACUCCUAGGGAAGGUUUUAAAACCUUUUCUCCUAGGACAAGCACAAUUUAUGAUAUGUAUAGGACAAGGGAGCCCAGAGUCUUUAAAGAAGAUUAUGUGCAAAAGAAUACUUUUGGCAGUACUUCGCUGUGUUUUGACAGCAGGCAACGGUCGGCCUUACCAGCCACAGGGCAUUUCACAGCAAGAAGCUUACAUUUUCCAGCCACAACUCAGAGCAAGAGUGGGUUUAUACCACCAAGGCACCAGCAGAGUCCAAAGAGAACUCCUUUAUCAUCCAUCAUAUGGAACAGAUCAGAUUCCUCUAGAGACAGGGAGAACCAGGAAGAGUUCCUGAGGGCACCAUCACCAAUGGAAAUUGAUCCCGCUGACAAGUAUGUGUAUCCCAGGGGUUUUCAGGAGAAUAAGAGAUAUGAAUCGUACCAUUCACAGAAUGUUUACCAACGUGUUAGUUUAAAUGCUCCCAUGGAGAAUGCAAUGAGUCCCGACACUUUUGAGAACUCAGAGAACAUGCCAUUCUACCAUCAAAGCAACACAUUUACCAGAUCUUUCUUCAGCAAUACCUUUGGACGAAGCGGAGAACAGAGGAGAUUUGGACAAGGUCCUUUUUGGGGCCAAGAGAAAGGACAUUCUUUCUGGUCUGACUUUCAUCGAAGCAGGAAAUCAUUCAGUUCUUCUGACAGAGACUUUGAAAUGAUUUCCAUGGAAGCAAAUAGUGUAUCAGCCAUUCAUGGCCAUAAUGUUUCUUCUGAACACUGGGAAUCAUUUUCUUCUGGUUAUGGAACAGAUGUUUCCAGAGGCCAAGAAGAGCCACAUCCUUGGCAGUUUGAUUUUCAGAGAUCCACACUGGAUAGCAUGGUGGUAUCACAUGGUAAUGAGACCCAGUUGACUCCUCAUUUUGGCACACCAAAUGUUUGCUCCAUGACUGGUUCAAGCUAUCACGUCAAAUCUAGUGAGUUGGUAAGUCAACAGGACAGUUCUCCUGUAGAAGUACAUAUAAACAAAGAAGCUUCCUCAUUUGGAAUUGCUCAGACUCUAGCAUCCUCAUUCAAAACUUCCUUUUCCCAGAUUUCUGAUGACAGAAGGAAUCCUCAGAGUCCCAACUUGCAGAAUCCCACAGUCACUUUGCAGAAAAUUUUUCCAAAUAAGCCUGCCUCUCAUCCAAUGAGAAGCCAUACAGAAGUCACUGUGACCAGCAGCAAUUCAGUUGACUCUCUGCCUCUUGCCAAAAGCCAGCCCAAUAUCUUGGUCACAGAAGUAAAUAAUGAG
rnacentral:lncRNA from 1 species